rnacentral:rRNA from 1 species
GGCAUCUGGUGGAUGCCUUGGCACUGAGAGGCGAUGAAGGACGUGGCACACUGCGAAAAGCCAUGGGGAGUCGUGAGCAGACGUUGAUCCGUGGAUAUCCGAAUGGGGAAACCCGGCCCAAUGGGUCGUCCCUUGUUGAAUACAUAGGCAAGGGAAGCAAACCCGGCGAACUGAAACAUCUAAGUAGCCGGAGGAAAAGAAAUCAACCGAGAUUUCCCAAGUAGCGGCGAGCGAACGGGAAACAGCCUGCAAGUGAUAUUUAAUGUUCUAGUGGAAUGUUCUGGAAAGGACAGCGAUAGAGGGUGAUAGCCCCGUACACGAAAGAGCGUUAUUGGUACUAAGCUUGCGACAAGUAGGGCGGGGCACGAGAAACCUUGUCUGAACAUGGGGGGACCAUCCUCCAAGGCUAAAUACUCCUUAUCGACCGAUAGUGAACCAGUACCGUGAGGGAAAGGCGAAAAGAACCCCGUUAAGGGGAGUGAAAUAGAACCUGAAACCGUGUGCGUACAAGCAGUAGGAGCAGACUUGUUCUGUGACUGCGUACCUUUUGUAUAAUGGGUCAGCGACUUAAUUUAUGUAGCGAGCUUAACCGAAUAGGGGAGGCGAAGGGAAACCGAGUCUUAAUAGGGCGAUUAGUUG